CCUACGGGAGGCAGCAGUGGGGAAUAUUGCACAAUGGGCGAAACCCUGAUGCAGCGACGCCGCGUGAGUGAAGAAGUAUUUCGGUACGUAAAGCUCUAUCAGCAGGGAAGAAAAUUAUGGUACCUGACUUAGAAUGUCCGGCUAAUUACGUGCCAGCAGCCGCGGUAAUACGUAGGGGGCAAGCGUUAUCCGGAUUUACUGGGUGUAAAGGGAGCGUAGACGGCUGCGCAAGUCAGGAGUGAAAGCCCAUGGCUUAACCAUGGAAGUGCUUUGGAAACUGUGCAGCUAGAGUGCAGGAGAGGUAGGCGGAAUGCGUGGUGUAGCGGUGAAAUGCGUAGAUAUUAGGAGGAACACCGGUGGCGAAGGCAGCUUGC
rnacentral:rRNA from 1 species